UAACACUAGCCUCAAAGGUACAGCACCGUACAUCUGACGAUUGGGUAUAUAAUGAAAUGCGUAAAGAAAAGAGGACGUAACAUGCGCAUCACAUGACACGAUGAAGAAGUUCUUAGCAGUCACCACCCCUUGUUAAAAAGAAAAAUACCACACCCCCGGAUGAAAUCUCGGUAGAACCGAAGGACUCGACAAGGACAGCAUCGCACCACUUCGCUUUCAAAAGAUCCGUCUGUUUCCACUGCCGGGAUGGCCACACGCUUCCAUGUGUCGGCCCGAUCCGUGUGAGCUGUGUGACUGGCCUCUCACUCCCCCCUUUUCUUUUCCGUUUCUUUUCGCCAGGCCAAGCUAUCCCUGCGAGGUUUUG
rnacentral:lncRNA from 1 species